UGGGGAAUAUUGCACAAUGGGGGAAACCCUGAUGCAGCGACGCCGCGUGAGCGAAGAAGUAUUUCGGUAUGUAAAGCUCUAUCAGCAGGGAAGAAAAUGACGGUACCCGAGGAGGAAGCCACGGCUAACUACGUGCCAGCAGCCGCGGUAAUACGUAGGUGGCAAGCGUUGUCCGGAAUUACUGGGUGUAAAGGGAGAGUAGGCGGGAUUGCAAGUCCGUUGUUAAAUCUAUCGGCUUAACCGGUAGCUGCGGCGGAAACUGUAGUUCUUGAGUGAAGUAGAGGCAGGCGGAAUUCCUAGUGUAGCGGUGAAAUGCGUAGAUAUUAGGAGGAACACCAGUGGCGAAGGCGGCCUGCUGGGCUUUAACUGACGCUGAGGCUCGAAAGUGUGGGGAGCAAACAGGAUUAGAUACCCUGGUAGU
rnacentral:rRNA from 1 species